UUAUUAUUAUUAUUAUUUGUUUUGGAGAUCAAAUUUUCUUUUUGGAGUUAUAUUGAAAGAUAAAUAAUCAAUUUGAGAAUAAAAUCACUUAUCCUAUACUUUUGCUUUCACAUUUCAUCUAUUUCUUGGAAGGAUUUACUGGCGUUUGAAGAAAAGCAAUCCUUCCAAUGAACUCCAACAAAACAAGGGAAGUGUCUUCGUCUUGGCAUUCUUUACUUAUUUUCCUUUUCCUUAAUAAGAUAUUUUCCUUUUACUUAAAUUAUAUAUGUAAAAGAUCACAUACUUUAAUGUCUGGACUCUGGGAUGUGAAUGUAUCCCACUUGUUUAACAACUCACUUUCGAAAAAGCCAUAAGCAUUUUCUUCUUAUCAUAACGUUUUUAAGGUUGUUAACUCUGCAUCGGUGCCAAGAUGUAGUAGCUUGAGUACUGGAAUGUAAGCUGCCUAUAUGUAACUGAUUACGUACUCCUUGCCCACUUAUCUACAGGGUGAAAGUGAUGGACCUGUUGGUUCUUUUGCUGGUUCUCUACAGUAGACACAUGCAGGUGACAUUGCUGACUUCAUCCAGAAAAAACUGAAGUUGCCACCAGUAUUGCUUGGACAUUCAUUUGGGGGCCUAAUUAUUCAGUACUUUAUUGCAAAUAUUAGAAACAAACAACUUAUAGGUAAUCUUCAUCAUCCAAUUUUUAGGUAACUGUCAUAUACUGGUUGAUGCUGAUCUCAUAACCUUCAUGUCAACAUUGUAAAAUGUUCGUAAUAGAUGCAUUGAAACACUUUUGUCAUUAAUUUGUGUGGUCAAUAACCCACAAAAUGUUAAUUAUGUUUCAAUUUUCUUUGGACGAAGCCUCUCCUGAAGGGGUCAGCUAUGAGAUUCAAACUUGGUUUGUUACAGAUAUUGAACAUAUUUUUUGGUCCUCACCAACAAAGCUUGAGCUUUUAGGUUGGAGAUCCUUAAUAUUUAUCAAAGUAAUCUAGGUUUGCUUCAUUGCUCUGAAAACAUACUGCUUCACCUUCACUGACUUUAUUCUUAUUCUAAUUGGGCUCAAUUCUAGAAAUGAAGAAGCUGUGCCCCUACCCUGAUCUUGCUGGAGCUGUGCUUGUCUGUUGCGUACCUCCUUCGGUGGGUUAGUGUGGCGGUAUCUCUUUUCCAAGCCUAUUGCUGCUUUUAAGGUGACACGCAGCUUGGCAGCUAAAGCUUUUCAAACUGAUCUUUCUCUUUUUAAGGAAACAUUUUUCACAUCAACAAUGGAGGAUAAUCUGGUGAUGCGGUUUGUUCACUGGUCCUUUAAGAAAUAACAAUUCUCAUGAACAGUUAAAACUCCUUGUGGCAUUUGAAAUGAUAAAUGGAAAUUAACAAUGUAAAUUUAUACGGUUAAGGUUGUGUUUCAUUUUAUUGAUUUAAGCAUUUGUUGGCCUAUUUAAGUGCAGUGUCUUCAGAAAAUUGAAUAAGAAAAUUUCACUGCAAGUCAACUUGCAUUCUAAAAUCCAAACUCAUACUAUCUGAGCUAAAGAGAGGCCAUUGUUUGAUCUGAUCUAAAAUCAUCCAUGUAGUCCCUGGUCUUGAAAAUACACAGAGAAUGUGCCAAGCUGUGAUUGAACUUAAUGUACAUCCAUAACUUAAUGAGAGAGUUUAUUUUGAUGGAUGUUUUAGUUGAAGUUUUCAAACUUGCCCAUAUGAUGUCAUUCCUUCACUGUAAAAAACCCUACUUGAGUUAUGGAAAUUAUAUUUGUUGAUCCUAGCCCUUGAUUUUGACUGAUAUCUUACAUUAUAUAUUUCUAUUGAGAAAUAAUUAUAAAAGUCAACUUUGGUAUAUAUCUAGGCAGUAGCAAUGUAAGCUCAAGAAAAUUAUGUCCUCAUAAAUGUUUCAAAAUGCUUAACUUGCAACUUUAUGUGAUUGCAUGCUGAGCAAAGGCUAGUUUUUUCUUCAAUAUGAAAACUUGGAUGGUGGUUUCUUUCAGUUAUCAGGAACUAAUGAGAGAAAGUUCAAGAAUGCCAUUGUUUGAUCUACGGAAGCUAAAUGCAUCACUUCCUGUUCCUUCAGUGCCAAAAUCUUCCAUGAAAGUCCUUGUGGUGGGUGCAAGUGAUGACUUCAUAGUGGAUGCCGAAGGACUUCAUGAAACAGGAAGAUUUUAUGGCGUAUCACCAAUCUGUGUUGAAGGAGUUGCCCAUGACAUGAUGUUAGAUUGCUCUUGGGAGGAAGGCGCAAAAGUUAUCCUCUCAUGGUUGAAUGGUUUGAGCAGAUAAGACCCUAUGUAAUUCGAAAUGAACUCAUCCAUCCUUAGAUUGCCAUUUUGACAGUUUGCUCCAAACUUGUGUAUCCAUGCAAGAGCAAGAAUAAACUGGUUUAUUCUGAUUUUAAAUUUCCUUUCGAAUGGUGAAAGGUCUAUUCCACUAAUGUAAGUCGGUGAGGGUUUGAAUCUCACUAAUAUGAUGAUCAUUCACUCUCUAAUAUUUAAAAAAGAAAAAUCAUAAUUGAAG
rnacentral:misc_RNA from 1 species